rnacentral:rRNA from 1 species
GAUGAACGCUAGCUACAGGCUUAACACAUGCAAGUCGAGGGGUAACGAGAGGAAAGCUUGCUUUCCUUGUCGACGACCGGCGCACGGGUGAGUAACGCGUAUCCAACCUGCCCCCAACUAGGGAAUAACCUUGCGAAAGUAAGACUAAUACCCUAUAAUUUCCUCAGAUCCCAUCUGACGAGGAAUAAAGAUUUAUCGGUUUUGGAUGGGGAUGCGUCUGAUUAGCUUGUUGGCGGGGUAACGGCCCACCAAGGCAACGAUCAGUAGGGGUUCUGAGAGGAAGGUCCCCCACAUUGGAACUGAGACACGGUCCAAACUCCUACGGGAGGCAGCAGUGAGGAAUAUUGGUCAAUGGGCGGAAGCCUGAACCAGCCAAGUAGCGUGCAGGAUGACGGCCCUAUGGGUUGUAAACUGCUUUUAUACAGGAAUAAAGUUAGCCACGUGUGGUUAUUUGUAGGUACUGUAUGAAUAAGGACCGGCUAAUUCCGUGCCAGCCGCCGCCGUAA